GAUGAACGCUGGCGGCGUGCCUAAUACAUGCAAGUCGAGCGAACGGACGAGAAGCUUGCUUCUCUGAUGUUAGCGGCGGACGGGUGAGUAACACGUGGAUAACCUACCUAUAAGACUGGGAUAACUUCGGGAAACCGGAGCUAAUACCGGAUGAUAUUUUGAACCGCAUGGUUCAAAAGUGAAAGACGGUCUUGCUGUCACUUAUAGAUGGAUCCGCGCUGCAUUAGCUAGUUGGUAAGGUAAUGGCUUACCAAGGCAACGAUGCAUAGCCGACCUGAGAGGGUGAUCGGCCGCACUGGAACUGAGACACGGUCCAGACUCCUACGGGAGGCAGCAGUAGGGAAUCUUCCGCAAUGGGCGAAAGCCUGACGGAGCAACGCCGCGUGAGUGAUGAAGGUCUUCGGAUCGUAAAACUCUGUUAUUAGGGAAGAACAUAUGUGUAAGUAACUGUGCACAUCUUGACGGUACCUAAUCAGAAAGCCACGGCUAGCUACGUG
rnacentral:rRNA from 1 species